rnacentral:rRNA from 1 species
UGCGGAAGGAUCAUUAUCGAUGGCCGCGCCGUGAGCGCCCUGGUGCAGGAUCGGCCGGCCACUGACCACACCCUUACUUUACGAGCACCUUUCGUUCUCCUUCGGCGGGGCAACCCGCCGCUGGAACCUCAUCAAACCUUUUUUUGCAUCUAGCAUUACCUGUUCUGAUAAAAAACAAUCGUAACAACUUUCAACAAUGGAUCUCUUGGCUCUGGCAUCGAUGAAGAACGCAGCGAAAUGCGAUAAGUAGUGUGAAUUGCAGAAUUCAGUGAAUCAUCGAAUCUUUGAACGCACAUUGCGCCCCUUGGUAUUCCAUGGGGCAUGCCUGUUCGAGCGUCAUCUACACCCUCAAGCUCUGCUUGGUGUUGGGCGUCUGUCCCACCUCUGCGCGCGGACUCGCCCCAAUUUGGGGUCCGAGUUGUAAUUUGCAGAGGGUGCUUUGGCAUCGGCGGCGGUCUAAGUUCCUUGGAACAGGACAUGGCAGAGGGUGAGAAUCCCGUACGUGGGCGCCUGCCUUUGCCGUGUAAAGCCCCUUCGACGAGUCGAGUUGUUUGGGAAUGCAGCUCUAAAUGGGAGGUAAAUUUCUUCUAAAGCUAAAUACCGGCCAGAGACCGAUAGCGCACAAGUAGAGUGAUCGAAAGAUGAAAAGUACUUUGGAAAGAGAGUCAAAUAGCACGUGAAAUUGUUGAAAGGGAAGCGCUUGCAGCCAGACUUGCCCGCAGUUGCUCACCCAGGCUCCGGCCUGGGGCACUCUUCUGCGGGCAGGCCAGCAUCAGUUUGGGCGGUUGGAUAAAGGCCUCUGUCACGUAUCUCCCUUCGGGGUGACCUUAUAGGGGAGGCGCAAUGCAACCAGCCCGGACUGGGUCCGCGCAUC